GUUACAGCCGCCGCGGUAAUACGUAGGGGGCAAGCGUUGUCCGGAUUUAUUGGGCGUAAAGAGCGUGUAGGCGGCCAGACAGGUCCGUUGUGAAAACUCGAGGCUCAACCUCGAGACGUCGACGGAAACCGUCUGGCUAGAGUCCGGAAGAGGAGUGUGGAAUUCCUGGUGUAGCGGUGAAAUGCGCAGAUAUCAGGAAGAACACCUAUGGCGAAGGCAGCACUCUGGGACGGUACUGACGCUGAGACGCGAAAGCGUGGGGAGCGAACAGGAUUAGAAACCCGGGUAGUCC
rnacentral:rRNA from 1 species